rnacentral:tRNA from 1 species
ACGGGUUCAAUCCUGUCAUCCCUACC